rnacentral:lncRNA from 14 species
CAUUGGCCUCCAGAAGAAAAGGAUGCCCCAUGGUAGAGGUGCUGUCCUUAAUUCUCAGGAAUGAACCACCCGAUUAAAGCUCAUCUGAGGAAGAGCUGAGAUUUACUUAUGCAGCUACACAUAACAGUUUAUAUCACAAAUUUUCCAUCAAAAAUGGUGAUGGCCUUGUGUGGGAAUGCCUGGCUUCAUGGAGUUUUUCAGCACAUUAAGUUCCAGUACAAUUCAUUCUGAAGCUCAGAUGGCCUUAAGGAUACACUUUAAGAUACAUUUUCAUUAUCAGUUUUGCUGGAGCCUUUUCUUUCUAAGGACUCAGUUUUUGGAGGGCAGUGAAGAUCAGAAGUUGAAGCUCUUCUCCCAUCUUCUAAUCAAGCUGCUUCAGGGGCAGUGGAGUUUUCUAUUUGAUGGCAGAUGA